rnacentral:ribozyme from 1 species
UGCCCAGCAACUCCUGUCCCUAUCUCCUCGUGGUACUGAACGGGGUACGAGUAACCCCGGUGGGAACUUUGAUCGUAUGCUGACAGGGAAGG